rnacentral:rRNA from 1 species
UACAGAGGGGGCAAGCGUUGUUCGGGAUUACUGGGCGUAAAGGGCGCGUAGGCGGCCUGCUAAGUCGAACGUGAAAUCCCCGGGCUCAACCCGGGAACUGCGUCCGAUACUGGCAGGCUUGAAUCCGGGAGAGGGAUGUGGAAUUCCAGGUGUAGCGGUGAAAUGCGUAGAUAUCUGGAGGAACACCGGUGGCGAAGGCGGCAUCCUGGACCGGUAUUGACGCUGAUGCGCGAAAGCCAGGGGAGCAAACGGG